UACGAAGGGUGCAAGCGUUACUCGGAAUCACUGGGCGUAAAGCGUGCGUAGGCGGUUCGUUAAGUCUGCUGUGAAAGCCCUGGGCUCAACCUGGGAACUGCAGUGGAUACUGGCGGACUAGAGUGUGAUAGAGGAUGGUGGAACUUCCGGUGGAGCGGUGAAAUGCGUUGAGAUCGGAAGGAACGCCCGUGGCGAAAGCGCUCGACUGGAUCUCUGCUGACGCUGAGGCGCGAAAGCCAGGGGAGCAAACGGG
rnacentral:rRNA from 1 species